AUCUGGCGCCGCUUUUGCGUCAGGCUUCUGCCUGAGCUCGGUUAGGGCCUCACCGACCUGCUUCCACCCCUCAGGGAGGCCUCAGUGAUUCGGCCACAGCCUCAGCCUCCGUCGCUCUGUGACCUGCGGGUAUUGGAUGAUUCGUAGCUAAGACUCUACGACAUCCCUGAAGCCGGGAAAUGGUGUGUGUUCUCAUUUUACCCAAGAUCUUUGGCCAGUGCAGGGCAUAGAAGAUUCAUUCCACAAACUUAUACUGAGAAGAUAUGAGAAAUGUGGACAGAAGAAUUUACAAUUAAGGAAAGGCUCUAAAAGUGUGAAUAAGUGUAAGGUGCAGAAAGGAGGUUAUAAUGGACUUUACCAAUGCUUAUCAACUACCCAGAGCAAAAUAAUUCAGUGUAAUACAUCUGUCAAAGUUUUUCAUAAAUUUUCAAAUUCAAACAACAUAAGACAUACUGGAGAGAAAUCAUUUAAAUGUAAAAAAUGUGGCAGAUCAUUUCGCAAGUUCCUCCAACUAACUUAACAUAAGGGAAUACAUGCUGGAGAGAUACCCUACAAAUAAAUGUGAAGAAUGUGGCAAAGCCUUUAAUAGGUCCACAAGCAUUACUAAAUAUAAGAAAAUUCAUGCUGGAGAGAAACCCCUCAUGUGAAGAACGUGUCAGAAUCUUUACCUCAUCCUCAAGCUUUGACAAACAUAAGAGAAUUCAUACUGGAGAGAAACCCUACACGUGAAGAAUGUGGCAAAGCCUUGAGACAAUCCACAGUUCUGAAUGAACAUAAGAAAAUUCAUACUGGAAAGAAACCCUACAAAUGUGAAGAAUGUGGCAAAGCUUUUAGACAGUCCAGAAGCCUGAAUGAACAUAAGAAUAUGCAUACUGGAGAGAAACCCUACACGUGUGAAGAAUGUGUCAAGCUUUUAACCAAUCCUCAAGCCUUAUUAUACACAGGAGCAUUCAUUCUGAACAAAAACUUUACAAAUGUGAAGAAUGCAGCAAAGCCUUUACUCAAUCCUCAUCCCUUAAUAAACAAGAGAAUUCAUACUGGUGAGAAACCCUACACAUGUGAAGAAUGUGGCAAAGCCUUUUAUAGGUCCUCACACCUUACUGAACAUAAGAAUAUUCAUACUGGAGAGAAAUCCUACAAAUGUGAAGAAUGUGGCAACGCCUUUUAUAGAUCUUCACACCUUACUAAACAUAAGAGAAUUCAUUCUGGGCAAAAACCCUACAAAUGUGAAGAAUGUGGCAAAGCCUUUAGACAGUCCUCUGCACUGAAUGAACAUAAGAAAAUUCAUACUGCAGAGAAACCCUACAAAUGUAAAGAAUGUGGCAAAGCCUUUAGAUGGUCCAGAAGCCUGAAUGAACAUACGAAUAUUCAUAUUGGAGAGAAACCCUACACAUGUGAAGAAUGUGGCAAAGAUUUUACUUGGUCCUCAACCCUUACUGUACACCAGAGAAUUCAGACAGGUGAGAAACAUAGUUGAUAACAUAGUUGAAUGACAUUUCUAGUAAUAUGUUUCCUUUGGCUUUAAACAGCAAAUAAAGUGAAGAAUAUUGUUCCAUGUUCUUUUCUUUAUUUCUUAAAAUUUUUGUAGGCACAUAGUAUAUGUACAUAUUUCUGGCAUAUAUUAGUUAUUUGAAUACAGGCAUACACCAUGUAAUAAUCCAUCAGAGUAGGCCAGGCGCAGUGGCUCAUGCCUAUAAUCCCAGCACUUUGGGAGGCCAAGGCAGGCGGAUCACAAGUUCAGGAGGUCAAGACCAUCCUGGCUAACAUGGUGAAACCCCAUCUCUACUAAAAAUACAAAAAAAUAACUGGGCAUGGUGGUGAGUGCCUGUAGUCCCAGCUACUCAGGAGGCUGAGGCAGGAGAAUGGUGUGAACCCAGGAGGCAGAGCUUGCAGUGAGCCUAGAUAGCGCCACUGCACUGCACGCCAGCCUAGGCGACAGAGUGAGACUCCGUCUCCAAAAAAAGAAAAAAUCCAUCAGAGUAAAUGAGAUAUUCAUCACCUUAAGUAUUUAUUCUUUGUAUUACACAAGUCCAGUUAUACACUUUAUUUUUCAAUGUACAAUUAUUUUUUACUACAGAUCGUUUUGUGAUUGUAAUAUAUCAAAGUAUAAUUCAUAUGUUUCUGAGUCCUGAAUGAAUACUUAAAAAAAAUGUUUCAUAUUUGUCUUUGAACAUGUAGUGUCUUGUCCUGCAAACACAUACGGACUUUUCAUUUUUAUUUACAUGAAGUUAAAUAUAUAAAUGUAUUGCUCUAAAAAUAAACCGUUAGGUGUAAGAAAAUUACAGAGCAAGCAAUAGUGUUUGUGUGAGAGUUUGUACCUAUUUUCCAAAGAAAAGAUCAAUAUUGGAACAAAGAAGAUUCUUUUAUAAGGUGGAUAAUUUACUAGAAAUCUAGAAACCUAAAACAUUGUGAAAUCAAAUCUAUAUUUCUUUGGAUUUAAUUACUGUAAAAUCUAAUUGUUGAGACUCUCCCCAUGUAAAUUGUUUUCAUUUGUUACUCAUAUUACAGCUAUAAUUUACUUGUUUCUUCUUUUGUUUUUACUUUAUUAUUUACGAUGUGAGCUGGUGAGAAAUUAUAAGAAUGAUUUUUAUAAAAUUUAGUACACAAA